rnacentral:rRNA from 1 species
UGGGGAAUUUUGGACAAUGGGCGAAAGCCUGAUCCAGCAAUGCCGCGUGUGAGAAGCAGCUUCGGGUUGUAAAGCACUUUUGUCCGGAAAGAAAUCCUUGGCUCUAAUACAGUCGGGGGAUGACGGUACCGGAAGAAUAAGCACCGGCUAACUACGUGCCAGCAGCCGCGGUAAUACGUAGGGUGCAAGCGUUAAUCGGAAUUACUGGGCGUAAAGCGUGCGCAGGCGGUUUGCUAAGACCGAUGUGAAAUCCCCGGGCUCAACCUGGGAACUGCAUUGGUGACUGGCAGGCUAGAGUAUGGCAGAGGGGGGUAGAAUUCCACGUGUAGCAGUGAAAUGCGUAGAGAUGUGGAGGAAUACCGAUGGCGAAGGCAGCCCCCUGGGCCAAUACUGACGCUCAUGCACGAAAGCGUGGGGAGCAAACAGGAUUAGAUACCCUGGUAGUCCACGCCCUAAACGAUGUC